GUACUUUGUUGGCAGGGGAGAAUAUAAGAUUGUGGGUUUCUUAGGCAAGGUUCAUCCAUUUUCCUUGGGAUGUGUUGAUCCCUGAAAUUUUCUCAAAAUUCAGGAAAUUAUACUGCAUAAGUUGUGGUUCUGGGGUACUGCAUCAGUGCUCUGCCUUA